ACAACUAACUCAUUCCACUUUCACCUCAUAUCUAUAGAGUCCGGCUGGGGUACUAUUGAUAGCACUAAGGAUUUGGUGCUAUCGAGUUUUCCACCGUUAGAUUUAAUUUUUUGAUUAUUUUUACCCAUUAAAUUAUACGAUUCAACCAACCACUCACUCAACCUAGGGAGCCCACAUCAUCCUAACCACCCAUUUAUCAAUCCAAAGGCUAAAAAAUCAAUAGCACUAAUAGGUUUGUGCUAUUGAUAGUAUUCCAGCCUAGUUCUAUAUAUAUAUAUAUAUAUAUAUAUAUAUAUAUAUAAUUGAGCUAGAAUACUUUUAAAAGCAUAAACUCCUUAGUACUUCUAAGUUUCUAGCCCUUGAAUCUACUUCUUGAUUACUAAUAGUUUUUGAAUCAAACAUUAUUUCACCUACCACCACCUACUACUAUCUAUCACCAUCAUCUCAAUCUCAUAUCCCUCCAUCCAAUGACUAAAAACUCAAAAGCACCACCUUCAUGGUGCUUUUGAGAGUAUUCUAGCCCAACUCUCUUUCUCUUUCUCUAUAUAUAUAUAUAUAGUUCUUUUAUUUUUUUUUUUU
rnacentral:lncRNA from 1 species